rnacentral:rRNA from 1 species
UACGGAGGGUGCGAGCGUUGUCCGGAAUCACUGGGCGUAAAGGGCGCGUAGGCGGCCACCGCAAGUCGAUUGUGAAAUCUCCGGGCUUAACCCGGAAAGGUCAACCGAUACUGCGGGGCUAGAGUGCGGAAGGGGCAACUGGAAUUCUUGGUGUAGCGGUGAAAUGCGUAGAUAUCAAGAGGAACACCUGCGGCGAAGGCGGGUUGCUGGGCCGACACUGACGCUGAUGCGCGAAAGCUAGGGGAGCGAACGGG